UAGAGUUUGAUCAUGGCUCAGGAUGAACGCUGGCGGUAUGCCUAACACAUGCAAGUCGUACGAGAGCUUUUAACUCUAGUGGCGGACGGGUGAGUAACACGUGAGAAUUUGCCUUUAGGAGGGGGAUAACAAUUGGAAACGAAUGCUAAUACCCCAUAUGCUUUCGAGUGAAAUGGAUUUAUAUUUAUCCGCCUAGAGAGAAGCUCGCGGCUGAUUAGCUUGUUGGUAAGGUAAGAGCUUACCAAGGCGACGAUCAGUAUCUGGUUUGAGAGGACGAUCAGACACACUGGAACUGAGACACGGUCCAGACUCCUACGGGAGGCAGCAGUGGGGAAUUUUCCGCAAUGGGCGAAAGCCUGACGGAGCAAUACCGCGUGAGGGAAGACUGCCUAUGGGUUGUAAACCUCUUUUUUCAGGGAGGAAUCAAUGACGUGUACCUGAAGAAUAAGCAUCGGCUAACUCCGUGCCAGCAGCCGCGGUAAGACGGAGGAUGCAAGUGUUAUCCGGAAUCACUGGGCGUAAAGCGUCUGUAGGUGGUUUAAUAAGUCAACUGUUAAAUCUUGAGGCUCAACUUCAAAAUCGCAGUCGAAACUAUUAGACUAGAGUAUAGUAGAGGUAAAGGGAAUUUCCAGUGGAGCGGUGAAAUGCGUAGAUAUUGGAAAGAACACCGAUGGCGAAAGCACUUUACUGGGCUAUUACUAACACUCAGA
rnacentral:rRNA from 1 species